UACGUAGGUGGCAAGCGUUGUCCGGAUUUACUGGGCGUAAAGCGCGCGCAGGCGGCUCGUCAAGCCUGACGUGAAAGCCCCCGGCUCAACCGGGGAGGGUCGUCGGGGACUGGCGGGCUUGAGGUCGGCAGGGGCUGGUGGAAUUCCCGGUGUAGUGGUGAAAUGCGUAGAGAUCGGGAGGAACACCCGUGGCGAAGGCGGCCAGCUGGGCCGGACCUGACGCUGAGGCGCGAAGGCGUGGGGAGCGAACGGG
rnacentral:rRNA from 1 species